rnacentral:pre_miRNA from 1 species
UGGAAAACGGGAUACUAACAUGACCAGAAACCGAUGUCGUUGGACUAUCGAUCACAAUCGUGUGUGUGGAUAUGUCUCAGAGAAGGGAUGGAAUGAUUAAGCGUUGGAAUGAAUUUCCUCUGACACUGCCAUCAGUCUUAUAGACUUAUACUGAAGAGGCAUGAAGAAGUCUAUAUAAAACUGAUGCCAUUGUCAGAGAAAAUUCAUUCCAACGCUUAACCAUUCCAUCCCUUCUUUGAGACAUUCACACACACCAUUGUGAUUGAUAAUUCGACAUCGGUUUCYGAUCUUGUUUGUAUUCCAUUUUCCAAAGA